UGCCCGAUAGGGAGCCGUAACACAGGUGCUGCAUGGGUGUCGUCAGCUCGUGACGAGAGAUGUUGGGUUAAGUCCCGCAACGAGCGCAACCCUUGUCCCUAGUUGCUACGCAAGAGCACUCUAGGGAGACUGCCGGUGACAAACCGGAGGAAGGUGGGGAUGACGUCAAGUCCUCAUGGCCCUUAUGGGUAGGGCUUCACACGUCAUACAAUGGUCGGAACAGAGGGUUGCCAAGCCGCGAGGUGGAGCCAAUCCCAGAAAACCGAUCGUAGUCCGGAUCGCAAUCUGCAACUCGACUGCGUGAAGCUGGAAUCGCUAGUAAUCGCGGAUCAGCAUGCCGCGGUGAAUACGUUCCCGGGU
rnacentral:rRNA from 1 species